ensembl:lncRNA
UUGCAAGGACAGAGGAGCCUGGUGGGCUACAGGCCAUGGAGCUGUGAAGAGUUGGAGGUGACUGAGCACACACACAGACAUGACCGUGGAAUGUAUUGAAAGUUUCUGAUUAGUAUCAUCUUUGAACCCAGUGACGAUGGCCUCUACUCACAAGAAGCAAAUAAUCUAUUUUCUUAAAGUCUCCAAAUUUUAAAUAGUGAUAACAACUAAGAGAAUACACAAAGUAUAUUCUUAUUGUCAGUUGAUUGAAGCAGAUAGCUUGUGGCUUAGUAAUUCAAGAGGGUGUUAUUUCAGGCAUUGAUAGCCAGGAGAGGCUUUGGAGUCAUAGAGAUACUAGUUUGGGAUAUCAGAGAACCAGUAGAACUCAGAUCUGUAAAGAGAACUGGGCUUCAAAGCAGUAGGAGACUGAGUUUGGCAAAAAUGAUCGAUGCCCAAGAAAACAUAUCUGAAGAAUCUGGAUGUAGGGACUCCCCUGGUGGUCCAGUGGAUAGAAUCCACCUUGCAAUACAGAGGAUGCAGGUCCUUGGUCAGGGAACUGAGAUCUCAAUGCCACAGAACAACUUAGCCUGCGUACCACAACUACUGUGCCCACGCACCACAACUAGAGAGUCCAUGUGCCGCAAUAAAACGAUGCCACGUGAUGCAACACAGAUCCUGCCUGCCACAACUGAAACCCGACGCAGCCAAAUAAAUAAAUCGUGAAAGUGAAAAUGGUAGUCACUCAGUCGUGUCCAACUCCUUAUGACCCCAUGGACUGUAGCCCACCAGUCUCCUCUGUCCAUGGAAUUUUCCCAGGCAAGAAUACUAGAGUGAGUAGCCAUUCCCUUCUUCAGGGGGUCUUCCCCACCCAGGGAUCAAAUCUGAGUCUCCUGAGUUGGCAGGUGGGUUCUUUACCAGGGAAGCCCCAAUAAAUAAAUAACUAUUUUUGAAAAAGGAUCUGGACAUAAACAGCCAUUAAUCUUUAAAUUCUAAGAUAGCAGAGGCUGUUCUGAAGCCAUUUUUAAAAAUCAUCAUGCUUAUUUGUAUGUAUUACCUGAAACUGGUCUAGUGCCUUCAUUUCUCCUCUAGUAUCUCAAAGAACAGAAAAAGAGAGCUUCUGCUUCGUCCUUGAAAUGGUUAACUUCCUGUGCUUCUCUAGUUAAAAAGGAAUAACUCUCUAAA